rnacentral:rRNA from 1 species
GGAGUCUAGCAUGUGCGCGAGUCAUUGGGAUCGAUACGAGACCCAAAGGCGCAAUGAAAGUGAAGGUGCGCGCCUAGCGCGUGCCGAGGGAGGAUGGGCGACCGUUCGCGCGGUCGCCCCGCACUCCCGGGGCGUCUCGUUCUCAUUGCGAGAAGAGGCGCACCAAGAGCGUACACGCUGGGACCCGAAAGAUGGUGAACUAUGCCUGGUCAGGACGAAGUCAGGGGAAACCCUGAUGGAGGUCCGUAGCGAUUCUGACGUGCAAAUCGAUCGUCGGAACUGGGUAUAGGGGCGAAAGACUAAUCGAACCAUCUAGUAGCUGGUUCCCUCCGAAGUUUCCCUCAGGAUAGCUGGCGCUCGUAGCGUACGAGUUUCAUCCGGUAAAGCGAAUGAUUAGAGGCAUUGGGGUCGAAACGGCCUCAACCUAUUCUCAAACUUUAAAUGGGUGAGAUCUCCGGCUUGCUCGAACUCUUGAAGCCGCGAGACUCGAAUCAGAGUGCCAAGUGGGCCAUUUUUGGUAAGCAGAACUGGCGCUGUGGGAUGAACCAAACGCCGAGUUAAAGCGCCUAAGUCGACGCUUAUGGGAUACCAUGAAAGGCGUUGGUAACUUAAGACAUCAGGACGGUGGCCAUGGAAGUC